GCGGGUGUAGCUCAAUUGGAUAGAGCAUCGGUCUACGAAACCGAAGGUUACAGGUUCGAGUCCUGUCACCCGCG
rnacentral:tRNA from 1 species